UCCUCAGUAGCUCAGUUGGUUAGAGCAUCUGACUGUUAAUCAGAGGGUCGUUGGUUCGAGUCCAACCUGAGGAGCAA
rnacentral:tRNA from 1 species